rfam:Blochmannia floridanus complete genome
GCUGAUAUAGCUCAGGGGCAGAGCACUCCCUUGGUAAGGGUGAGGUCGGCAGUUCGAUUCUGCUUAUCAGCA